rnacentral:rRNA from 1 species
AACGAACGCUGGCGGCAUGCCUAACACAUGCAAGUCGAACGGGACCUUCGGGUCUAGUUGCGCACGUGUGCGUAACGCGUGGGAACCUGCCCUUAGGUUCGGAAUAACUCCCCGAAGGGGAUGCUAAUACCGGAUAAUGUCUUCGGACCAAGGAUUUAUCGCCUUUGGAUGGGCCCGCGUUGGAUUCGCUAGUUGGUAGGGUAAAAGCCUACCAAGGCGACGUUCCAUAGCUGGUCUGAGAGGAGGAUCAGCCACACUGGGAAUGAGACACGGCCCAGACUCCUACGGGAGGGAGCAGUGGGGAAUAUUGGACAAUGGGCGAAAGCCUGAUCCAGCAAUGCCGCGUGAGUGAUGAAGGCCUUAGGGUUGUAAAGCUCUUUUACCCGGGAUGAUAAUGACAGUACCGGGAGAAUAAGCUCCGGCUAACUCCGUG